CUUGAAGUAUUCCUGAUUGCUGAGACGGGCAUUCCAGAGAGAAAAAGGCAACAGCAAAAACCGUGGCCUGGAACAUCAGAUGCAAACUGGGAACACAGACCCUGGGCUUCUGAAAGGAAAGGGCAGAGGUGUGCUGGCGCAGCGGGCCGCUCCGCGCAGGCUUGGUAAAUUGAUGUGUAAAGCAGAGAAUAACUUCACAACCCCCCGGGGAAAAGGUCAGAGGAACAGGAGCAGGAGAGCAGGAGGCACCAUGCAGAGGGUCACCUAGCCAGGAGCUGGCUGGCAGAAGCGGCGUGACCGUGGUCAGCACAGGCACCUCCUUCUGCAACACCAAGAAAAGGAGUCCAGACCAGGGCUGCCCAAUGGAAAGUAAGCCGGGGAAUUCCUGAGUUUGAGUGACGGCACACGCAGUGCUGAUGGCCACAUUUCAGUGUGCAGCCACGUGGCUGUGGCUAGGACAGCACAGUCAGAUGGUCUGGACCGUAUGCUCUGGGAAACGUCUGAUCCUAUCUGACCAGGUGGGGAAUACAAUUUACUUGAAUUAAAA